AGCCAACCAAAGACAUAAUGAAAGUUCGUCGCAUUAAAUAUGCUUGGAAUGAGUUUUUCCUUGAGGCUAGGUAUAACAUUGGUGCAGUUAUCUCGCUCUGAGCACCUGUAGUCUUAAUUGCAUUGUGGAAUAUGCAUCCAGUAUUCAAAGAAAGGGUGACAUUCCAAGCACUCACACUUUCUCUCCUUGCUAGCUAAAUUGGCUGGCAAGCUAAAGAAGUCAGUGGAGGAUGAAAUUCAUUUUCUCAAGGGAAGGGUUUCAGAACUUGAAAGUGAUCUUGUGUCAAAGUCCACAGAAGUUACAUCUGUAGUUUCAAGGAAAGAAGAAGCUCUAUCUUCUGCAUUUGCUGAAAUUAACCAUCUGAAGGAAGAAAAUUCUAUAAAAAUGUGAGCAUUAUUGAAUGCAUAUGGAGGGUGUUUAUUGUGUUUGAGUGUAUUUGUUUCUUGCAUAUGAAG